AUCAUCAAUCAACAAAUAUAUUAUUUCCCCUUGUUCUCUUGCAAUAAUUCAUGGAGACCUACUAUUGUGAUUUAAUCGAUGUUACACCUCUUGGGAGCUUUGCAACCAUGUUCUUCUCUAAUCAGAAAUUUGGAGAGGUGGAUCCAAAUUUCAUUCGUGAAUUUGGACAUGAACUUCCUGUAGAAUGGAGGAUAAUGGAUUAUCGAUUUGAACAUCAUAUUGUUACAUACAACAAAGAUGAAAUCCAUCCUCUUCUCACGGAUGGAUGGAAAGAGAUGAGAGAGGUUUUCGACCUUCAUAAGAAUGAAGAAAUCCAUUUUGCCUAUCAUGGUCAAGGUUUGUUUGGUAUUACGGCUUCAAGAAGAUUUGAAAGUGAAGAUCAAAUUCCAAACUAUCAUAGCUGAUAUACUCAUGGUAAUUGUGCUAGGUUUCAAGUGGAACUUAAGCGUGAUAACAUAAGGAAUCCAUAUUUGAGCAUAUGAAAUUUGUUUGCAAUUUUUGUGAGAAAUUCUAAGGUGAAUGCGAUAACUGCUUACUGUGACAAUGGAACAAAGACUAAUCUUCAAGUUGCAAUUCACGACAAUCCUUUCCCGGUGUCUGCCUUAGGACCUGGUUGGUUUGGUUUUUGUCGCAAAAAUGGUUUUCCUGCUGGUGAUGAACUAUGCUUUAAUUUUUCACUUGUUAACUCUGGUAAUAAUGUUGUGCGCGUUUUUAAAAUCUGAAGUGAGAAAGAUGAUUAUGUUGGAGGCUUGUUAUUGUUGGAAAAAAGGGAGGUUGCAAAGAUAACUUGUUGGAGGCUGUUGAUUAUGCAGUAUGUUAGGCUAAUUUUAAGUUAAUUUGGUUUUAAUGUUUGUUCUUUAAGAUUAGGAAGAUGAUUAUGUUAGAAGGUGUAGGCUGAAUC